GGCGGCGUGCUUAACACAUGCAAGUCGAGCGGUAAGGCCCUUCGGGGUACACGAGCGGCGAACGGGUGAGUAACACGUGGGUGAUCUGCCUCGCACUUCGGGAUAAGCCUGGGAAACUGGGUCUAAUACCGGAUAUGACCAGGGGACUGCAUGGUUUCUGGUGGAAAGAUUUAUCGGUGCGAGAUGGGCCCGCGGCCUAUCAGCUUGUUGGUGGGGUAAUGGCCUACCAAGGCGACGACGGGUAGCCGGCCUGAGAGGGCGACCGGCCACACUGGGACUGAGACACGGCCCAGACUCCUACGGGAGGCAGCAGUGGGGAAUAUUGCACAAUGGGCGAAAGCCUGAUGCAGCGACGCCGCGUGAGGGAUGACGGCCUUCGGGUUGUAAACCUCUUUCGACAGGGACGAAGCGCAAGUGACGGUACCUGUAGAAGAAGCACCGGCCAACUACGUGCCAGCAGCCGCGGUAAUACGUAGGGUGCGAGCGUUGUCCGGAAUUACUGGGCGUAAAGAGCUUGUAGGCGGUUUGUCGCGUCGUCUGUGAAAACUCACAGCUCAACUGUGAGCUUGCAGGCGAUACGGGCAGACUUGAGUACUGCAGGGGAGACUGGAAUUCCUGGUGUAGCGGUGAAAUGCGCAGAUAUCAGGAGGAACACCGGUGGCGAAGGCGGGUCUCUGGGCAGUAACUGACGCUGAGAAGCGAAAGCGUGGGUAGCGAACAGGAUUAGAUACCCUGGUAGUCCACGCCGUAAACGGUGGGCGCUAGGUGUGGGUUUCCUUCCACGGGAUCCGUGCCGUAGCUAACGCAUUAAGCGCCCCGCCUGGGGAGUACGGCCGC
rnacentral:rRNA from 1 species